rnacentral:lncRNA from 1 species
UGAAAUUUAGUUUUAAAUUAGGGUUGAAUUAGUAAUUACGGUCAUUUCUAUAGAAACACAUGAAUUCACUAAGGGAACACACGUGUCCAUCCGUAUUCAUCUGUGUGUAAAACUCUAUUUUCUCUCAUUUUUUAUUUCAUUGUUCCCCUAUCCCAUUUUCUCAGUCUUCACUCUUUCAGCGAGGCUCUUCGCUUUGGUCUUUUUCUGCAAGCUACUAUUAAUUUGAGCAAACCAUGUGUACUGCACUUAUAUUCAACUAUAGUCUAUAGUAGUACUUCACAUCUCACAAUUUCUCUCUCAUUUAGAAGACCAUCUCUGUUUGUGAGUAUCUUAACUUUCUUAUACUCUUUUCUGUUCUUCAAUUUUUUAAAUUGUAAAUUUUUUUGAUUGAUUGGUUUGUAGUUUCUUAUGUAACUCUAUUGUACUUGUGAAUUUUGGUAGAUUCUACUUUAUUCUCCUUCUUUCUUUGUUGCACCCAUUUCUUGGUGAUGUGAUUUUGAUAGAUCCGGUUUGAUUUUCUUCAUAUCUUAAAAUUUUCUGUUAAAUUUCUUACAUGCAUGUUAGUAAUUUGUAUUUUGCUCACGAUUUUUCAAAAUAGAUACUUAGUGUAUAUGUCAGAAUAUAUAUUUAUUUUUGAUUUGUAGCUAAGAAAUUAGCAAAUUUUGGAGUGAGGCGGCUUUUAAGGGGAGUAGUCCUUGUCAAUGACUACUAUUUUUAGGUGCAACAUUAUUUCAAUUUCGGCUUUAUUCUGGAGAAAUUUAACUCCUGCUAUCAGCUCCUAUAAAAAUGACCCAUAAAUAUGUUAGAUGAUUAUUUUUUAUCUUUAAGGGAGUUUGAAACAACAGACAUAGUUUAGUCACUCCUACCGGUUCUGAAUAUGAGAGGACUCUUUUUUCGUCCACAUAAGAGAUGCUACUCCAUGAAUAGAACAAAGGUUAGAUAAGUGGAUCUGUUGAUGCUAUGCAAUUGAGAAUUUGUUGGUAAAGUUCAUGAGAUAUUUGUGCUUCGACUAACUCCAGUUCGAAGAAGAAUACAGUGUAGUUUGCAAUGACAAUAAACUUAGACUUGAUAUUUAAGGUAGGUUUUCUAUGACUUAAAUAUGUAUGUUAAUUUUUUCUAAUUCUAAAUUAUUCUAUAUAAAAAUAUGAUUUAUUGUAAACUAAAGAAAUCAUUUUAUUGGAAAUAUUUUUUAUUGUUGUUUGUCUUAUUUAUAUGUGCAACAUGUAGACUGAUAUAACAAUCAUGGUGUCAAGUUAAUGGUUUUUAUUGUUCAGUUAGAAAUCUUGAAUCCAAUAAUAUAUAUUAAAAAACUAUUAGAAGAAAGCUAAGUCAAUUGCUAAUAUGAAUCUAGAGGUAAAGUAUUUUCUAUGUUUUUUUUUACUUCAAUACUAAAGUUGCAGCCUUUAUCCAAGAACAACUGCUCAAUACAAAUACAACGCCAAAAUCAGUCACUACCCAUUAUCAGCACACAAAAUAGAACAUUGAAGUUCUUUAUUCAAGAAAAAAAAAAAGCAUAUUCCCUGAUACAAAAGUGCAAGGUGAGCCUUUUAACACCACUGAUUGUUGUAGAUGUUAUCUGUAUUGUAGAAAUUUCCUGAAAUUGCAUGCAUGCCAAUUGUAGCUAUAUGACAAUUUCUCUUUUAAUUUGCAACAUUUUGUUUUUAAAUGUUAAUUUUUUUCUGCACUAUAUUCAAUUGCUUUUCUGGAAUUUAUAGGGAAGUAAAAUUUGAAAAGUAGCAUGGCCUUUUUUCUGCUGCCAAAAUGGAAAAGGAUGAUACUCCUCUAAGAAAGAGAUUGAUGCUCCUCUAGCUGAUGAUCAGGUGCCACUGAAAUCUAUCAUUCAAAAGAGAUAUAUUUUCUCUAUUUGUUACAUUAAGUUUAUUUGAAUUUGAUUGUGCAGCUAAUAUUAAAAUCGUGGAGCCUAAAUUUGUGUUUGAAGAUCAAACUAUUAAAAAUAAUCAACUCUUGGGGUAGUUAAGCAUAUUGAAGUGGAAGUGCAUAUACACCUUGCACUUUUAAUUUUUUACUAAGAAAGGUAGUAGUGAUCAAAUACAACUGUGGUCUUUAUUUUCAUGAUCAACACAAUUGUUACCAAGUAUAAUAAAAGGUUUCACCUUACUUGAGUCUUUUAAUAUGGUGAACCAACUACUACUACUACUACUACAACAUCUGGUCUUUAGAUCUUUAGUGUGUUUAAUUUGGUGAUUGGAUUAUAAUUGAGGGUAGAUGUUGGCUUCAUGGAGCUCAGACCUUCUGAAAUUGCUGAAAUUGCAGCAACACUGGCAAUGUCUAUUUAGUCAUCCAGGGAAAAGCGAGCAAAAAAUAUAUUGAAAGGUUAAUUCAAUAACCUUACUUCCUCAUACAAGUGCAAACAGUAAUUUUCUUUUGUCUUGAUUCUUGAGGUAUUGUUAUAUUCUCUGAUUUAUUUUUGGAGUCUCUGUCCUAUAAUAAUGUGGUAGCAUGAAGCUGGUUUUGAACUUAAUAAGUUGGUUUUCUCUGAGACUAUCUUCCUUUAACUAUGUCUUAUAGCUCUUUAUUGGCUCUUUUUUGAUGGACUAUCUACAUUGAGCAUGUGCAUGUGAGACCCUGUCCUGUGAUUUGAUUUUAUGAAAUAUUGAUAAAUCUGACUCUCCCAAGUAGUGAUUUUUCCAAGAAAAGUAGAUUAAACUGAAAUGGACUUAAAUCUGAGGAUAUAAACAGAGUGAGACCGUAUUUCGAAAGCAAAUGAGAAAAAAAGCAUAAAGGAAGAAAAAAGAAUAAACAUUUCUAGAUUACCAGCAUGCAUAACUGCUUGAUGAUCUUUCAAGCUUUCAAUUUUUGGAAACACUUCUCCGGAUUCGCAGAAGUCGCAUAUUGUUGGCCUAGAGUGGUUCGAUUUUAGUUUACCGAUCAAUAAUUUGUUAAAACUUUCACACUAUAACUACAAAUUCACAGGGAUAUUAAAGAGGAAGAGGAUGAAAAAUAUAAAUUGAAGACAAUAUUUAUAUAGUAAAAUUAUCAUACUGCCUACCUGCUCGAACCAACUAUCAUGUGACACUAUAACAUCUUUCAAAAUUGCAUGCCUUAGGGAGUAGCAUCAUGAGUGGGACUAGCAUUCUUUUGAUAUAGCAGAGCUCAAAAGAGACCUCUAGGAUGUUGAAUUGUGAGAAGUUUUCUUUCUUAGAAGGCUAAACUGCUGCUUUUUGUGAAAUUAUCGGCUCCGUGAACUACUUUUCUGUUUCCAUGGACAACAUCCCUAAACCUUACUUGGAAUAAGCUGCUACAACAUUGGAGGUUGUAGGGUUCUUGGAUGGGUCACAAACUAUUGAGCUUUUGAUCUGCUGGGCAGUUAAAAGUUACUGAAUUGAUCCCAUGAAGAAGGUUAUUUCUACUGCUACUAGAGUACCAUAAAUAGUAGGGCUAGAUAAUGGAGAAGAGGUAAAAUUGGCGUAGAAGAAGAAUCUUCCUCCUCCAUGGAAGACAAAGGUUUUUGAUUUACUUUGUUACCUCAUAGGACAUUGUUUCUUUCUUUGUUAAUGGGAAGGAUAGAACUGCGGUUGAAGGAGAGGCUUGGCCAAAUCUAUAAAUUUUCCAGCGUUCUUUGUCAUGGCUUCAGUGGUAUUUGAUAAAUGUUAUUUUUCGCAUAUAUGAUGAUAAAAAAGUCGAAUAAACAAGAAACUUUAUCUGAUGUCUUACCCAAAAUAUUGAUCUCUGUAUUGCUUGUGUGCGUCUCUGACCAUGUGCACUUCUAAUUCUUAAUGUCAGGUGGAGAUUUUUGUGGUGAUAUUGUUUCUUUCACAAUGAUGUUAGACUUUGGACCAUAUAGCAGUUUGUUUUGUUUUCCUAUGUAUAAUGUAAAGAAAAGGUUUGGAUAAUUUUUGUUUAAAAUGCAUUGCAGGUUACACUGAAACGGGAGAAAAAAGUUCAAGUUAUCCUAAAAAGUUCUCAUCACAUGUAUUUGAAAUUUCAAACGGAUUAUGGUUUCAGAUGAACAGAAACAGAGUUGUAUCAACUUUAGAAGAUAUAUUUUGUUUUUAAACUCUCAAAUUUGCAUAAUUUUAACUUAAGUGAUGGUGCAUGAAAUAAUUUUUUUAUCGUGCAGUAAUAUAGUGUUCUUCAAAAGGUUGGGU